rnacentral:rRNA from 1 species
GAUGAACGCUGGCGGCGUGCCUAAUACAUGCAAGUCGAGCGAAUGGAUUAAGAGCUUGCUCUUAUGAAGUUAGCGGCGGACGGGUGAGUAACACGUGGGUAACCUGCCCAUAAGACUGGGAUAACUCCGGGAAACCGGGGCUAAUACCGGAUAACAUUUUGAACCGCAUGGUUCGAAAUUGAAAGGCGGCUUCGGCUGUCACUUAUGGAUGGACACGCAUCGCAUUAGCUAGUUGGUGAGGUAACGGCUCACCAAGGCAACGAUGCGGAGCCGACCUGAGAGGGUGAUCGGCCACACUGGGACUGAGACACGGCCCAGACUCCUACGGGAGGCAGCAGUAGGGAAUCUUCCGCAAUGGACGAAAGUCUGACGGAGCAACGCCGCGUGAGUGAUGAAGGCUUUCGGGUCGUAAAACUCUGUUGUUAGGGAAGAACAAGUGCUAGUUGAAUAAGCUGGCACCUUGACGGUACCUAACCAGAAAGCCACGGCUAACUACGUGCCAGCCGCCGCGGUAA